CGGGUGAGUAAUGCUUGGGAAUCUAGCUUAUGGAGGGGGAUAACUACGGGAAACUGUAGCUAAUACCGCGUAGUAUCGGAAGAUGAAAGUGUGGGACCUUCGGGCCACAUGCCAUAGGAUGAGCCCAAGUGGGAUUGGUAGUUGGUGAGGUAAAGGCUCACCAAGCCGACGAUCUCUAGCUGGUCUGAGAGGAUGACCAGCCACACUGGGACUGAGACACGGCCCAG
rnacentral:rRNA from 1 species